rnacentral:rRNA from 1 species
AGGGUUCGAUUCUGGCUCAGGAUGAACGCUAGCGGCAGGCUUAACACAUGCAAGUCGAGGGGCAGCGCGGGGUAGCAAUACUCUGGCGGCGACCGGCGGAAGGGUGCGUAACGCGUGAGCAACAUGCCCGUGGCAGGGGGAUAAGCGAUGGAAACGUCGUCUAAGACCCCGUAACAACAGACCUCGCAUGGGGUUUGUUUGAAAGCUUCGGCGGCCACGGAUUGGCUCGCGUCCCAUUAGGCAGUUGGCGGGGUAACGGCCCACCAAACCGACGAUGGGUAGGGGUUCUGAGAGGAAGGUCCCCCACAAUGGAACUGAGACACGGUCCAUACUCCUACGGGAGGCAGCAGUGAGGAAUAUUGGUCAAUGGGCGGAAGCCUGAACCAGCCAUGCCGCGUGCAGGAAUAAGGCCCUACGGGUCGUAAACUGCUUUUGUACGGGAGCAAUAAGGGUCACGAGUGGCCUGAUGAGAGUACCGUACGAAUAAGCAUCGGCUAACUCCGUGCCAGCCGCGGC